UUUGGAUCUGUUAUUUUGGUAU
rnacentral:miRNA from 1 species